GCUGCGCACACACACACAGCUAAAUGUCGUCUGUUUUAACGGCAUAAUUAUACAGUUUUUUGGACAUCUGUGUAGCUGAAUCCUUUGCAAUUUGUUCAAUUAAUAUUGGAGAAGUCAAAGUAGAAAGAUGGAGUUGGGAAGCUUUAGCCUUUAGCCACACAAACACAGUGAUUUCUUGCUUAAAAUUCCUGGAGGUGAAACGUUCCUAUGGAUCAGAGCGUGGUCAAGAGAACAUGGAUCCCGACCACAUGUCAACCAGCAGGUUUCGGUGAGAAAAUUGUGGUUAAAAAGUCAGUUUUUACCGGAAAAAAGCUGAGUUUGUGCCGUCGAUAGCUGCCGUCGACUCCCCUGAGACACUGUGCGUCAACACACCCUUCCGACUAUCAGGUGCAUGUCUUUGGAGGUGGGAGGAAGCCGGAGUACCUGGAGGGAACCCAUGCAAUCAUGGGGAGAACAUGCAAACUCCACACAGAAAGAUCUCAAGCCCGGGAUUGAACUCAGGACCUUCGUAUUGUGAGAUGAUGCAAUUGUUGAGGACUGAAGUGCUGAUCUGUGAUGGGGUGUCGACUUGUCCAGUCUGUACCCCGCCUUUCACCCGUUUGUAGCUGAGAUAGGCACCAGCGCCCCCCGGAACCCAAAGGGAAUAAGCGGUAGGAAAUGGAUGGAUGGAUGAAGUACUGAUAUCAACCAAACCUAACCCUCCGCCCCAACCCCCUCCGCAUCCCACCCCCUGAAUUGUAAAUAAUGUAAAUUAUUAAAUGUAUAUACUCUGAUGAUUAACUUGUGUUAUGACUGUAUUAUGCUGAUAGUAUAUAUUUGCACCAUGAAUUGAUUUACGUGGACCCCGACUUAAAUAAGUUGAAAAUUGUAUUGGAGUGUGACCAUUUUGUGGUCAAUUGUGUGGAAUAUGUACUGUA